UCACAACUGCAGAGUUGCGUCAAAUGCUUGAAGCAAAUGAUCAAGAUUCUUCUGGAGCAGAACUUGAUUUGCGGGACAGAUGUGCUGACGGGAUGAUGUUUGGAGCACUUGGUCAUUGCCCGAUCUGUUCUGGUUUUCUCCGAUAUUCUGGAGGAACAUAUCGGUGCAAUGGAUUCCUGUCAGAAUGGAGCAAAUGUUCAUAUUCCACUCAUGAACCAGAGCGCCUAAAGGGGAAGUGGAAAGUCCCAGAAGACACAAAUAAUCAAUAUCUAAGCAAUUGGUUUAAAUCACAGAAGAGUAACAAACCUGCUAGGGUUCUGCCUCCACCAUCAUCUGAGAAUUCUUCUGGAACU
rnacentral:misc_RNA from 1 species